rnacentral:rRNA from 1 species
GGCUCAGGAUGAACGCUANCGGGAGGCUUAAUACAUGCAAGUCGAGCGGGAUUCUCUUCGGGAGCUAGAGUACCGGCGCACGGGUGCGUAACGCGUAUGCAAUCUACCUUUUACAGAGGGAUAGCCCAGAGAAAUUUGGAUUAAUACCUCAUAGUAUGUGAGAAUCGCAUGGUUUUCACAUUAAAGUUCCAACGGUAAAAGAUGAGCAUGCGUCCCAUUAGCUAGAUGGUAAGGUAACGGCUUACCAUGGCUACGAUGGGUAGGGGUCCUGAGAGGGAGAUCCCCCACACUGGUACUGAGACACGGACCAGACUCCUACGGGAGGCAGCAGUGAGGAAUAUUGGACAAUGGGCGCAAGCCUGAUCCAGCCAUGCCGCGUGCAGGAUGACGGUCCUAUGGAUUGUAAACUGCUUUUGUACAGGAAGAAACACUCCCUCGUGAGGGAGCUUGACGGUACUGUAAGAAUAAGGAUCGGCUAACUCCGUG